UACGUAGGGGGCUAGCGUUGUCCGGAUUUAUUGGGCGUAAAGGGCGCGUAGGCGGCCAUGCGUGUCUUCCGUGGAAUCCCUCGGCUUAACUGAGGACGUGCGGAAGAAACUGCAAGGCUUGAGUCCGGGAGAGGGGGGUGGAAUUCCCAGUGUAGCGGUGAAAUGCGUAGAUAUUGGGAGGAACACCGGUGGCGAAGGCGGCCCCCUGGACCGGUACUGACGCUGAGGCGCGAAAGCGUGGGUAGCAAACGGG
rnacentral:rRNA from 1 species